rnacentral:rRNA from 1 species
CGCGUAGGCGGCUUUUCAAGUUGGACGUGAAAUUCCUGGGCUCAACCUGGGGACUGCGUUCAAGACUGUGGAGCUAGAGGAUGGAAGAGGGUCGUGGAAUUCCCAGUGUAGAGGUGAAAUUCGUAGAUAUUGGGAAGAACACCGGUGGCGAAGGCGGCGACCUGGUCCAUUACUGACGCUGAGGCGCGACAGCGUGGGGAGCAAACAGGAUUAGAUACCCGCGUA